rnacentral:rRNA from 1 species
CCUACGGGGGGCUGCAGUGGGGAAUAUUGGACAAUGGGGGCAACCCUGAUCCAGCCAUGCCGCGUGUGUGAAGAAGGCCCUCGGGUUGUAAAGCACUUUCAGUGAGGAAGAACGCCUGGUGGUUAAUACCCAUCAGGAAAGACAUCACUCACAGAAGAAGCACCGGCUAACUCCGUGCCAGCAGCCGCGGUAAUACGGAGGGUGCGAGCGUUAAUCGGAAUUACUGGGCGUAAAGCGCGCGUAGGUGGCUUGAUAAGCCGGUUGUGAAAGCCCCGGGCUCAACCUGGGAACGGCAUCCGGAACUGUCAAGCUAGAGUGCAGGAGAGGAAGGUAGAAUUCCCGGUGUAGCGGUGAAAUGCGUAGAGAUCGGGAGGAAUACCAGUGGCGAAGGCGGCCUUCUGGACUGACACUGACACUGAGGUGCGAAAGCGUGGGUAACAAACAGGAUCAGAUACCCGGGUAGUC